rnacentral:pre_miRNA from 1 species
AAUAAACGAAUUUGUUUCUUUUAGAAUUUUUGACUUUUCGUCUUAUUUGAAAUAUUUUUAUAAUUAAUAUUUUUAUUGUUACUACAUGAUAAAACAUGAAUAGUAUUUUAAGUGUGACUUUAUUUUUUAAAUUUUUUAAUAAAUUUUUUAAAUAAAACGGAUGGUUAAACACUCGAUUAAAAAAUCUACG